rnacentral:lncRNA from 1 species
AGGAGGCCGGCAGAGCCCGGGGAAGGCCCCCCCCCCCAGGAGAUAAAUUACUCGCUGCCUUCUGACGGCCUCGAGGUUGGCCGGAAUAAACCAGGCGUACGACAGCAGCGGGAAACCGCAGCAAAGUUGGCCUGGGGCAGCUUGGGAUUAAGAGGAAACUUCGGCAUCCGCCAAGCCUCCCGGCCUCUCCCCGCCAGCUGCCUCCCAGAGCUUUCCCCCGGAUCCUGCCCUGACCUCCCGUCCCCUCCGCUCCCGGGGGCUCAGCACCGGCCUCGCAUCCCCUGCCAGCACCACUCUUCGUGCUGCGUGCCAAACAUCCCCCCGCCCUCCACGCCCCCCCCCAGCAUCCCAGCAUUUGGGUGUUUAAAAUGUAUCAGCGGUGCCAUCGCGGCUGCUGUUUUUCAUCCUUCAGCGAUAAGGCAUCUGCAUGUACACAGCACCCAGAAAAUUACUUACAAACAGCAGCUUCCUCCUGCACANNNNNNNNNNNNNNNNNNNNNNNNNNNNNNNNNNNNNNNNNNNNNNNNNNUUUUUUUUCCUCGAUUCCACACCCCACAUUGUGAUCGCCGAUUGGAGAUCACAAACCUGACAUUUCGGUGCCUGCUUUGCAGUGCCAGGCGGGCAAAACUGCCGGCGACAAUCGAUUCUCCCUGCAUCGUCUACCGGUGCCAUCCAAAACAUUUAAUCAACGCAAGAUCAACCCUUCCGGCAGCUCUCGUUUGCUUUAUUAUUAUUAUUAUUAUUAUCAUCAUCAUCAUUAUUUUUCCCCAGCCUCUGAAAAUAUGCAAUGCCCUGAAAUGGGGCCCGUGGCACGAGCAUGGUUGGGGGAAGAAAGAAAAUACGCCUGGAAGGCGCGGGGGUGAGCCAGGGAGGGUGGGUGGCUGCGUCAGCACAAGAAGUAAAGGUGACGGCCCUGUGCCCAUCCAAAAGUGCAUGGCAGGGACUGGGGGGGGAUGUAGGCGCCAGAGUGGUCGGGGCUCUGGGCUCCCAGAGAGAGCUGCUGGAACAAAGUGUCCCUGA